AGUGGAGCUGAUCUUCAUCUCUAAAGCACUAUUGAUGAACCAUAUGAUUAAACAAGUCUGUGACUGACUUAAUGAACCCAGUUGCUUUGGAUCAUGCUCAAAGAUGUAAGGGUUACAAAAAGUUAACCAGAACUCUUAUGGACUCCAUCUUCUCUUUCGAAGAGAUGGCAGCAUGGACGGAAAAAAAGGGGUUGUUGGUGAAAAAAGAGCCUUGACCUACAAAAGGUGCAGCUAAUAAUUGACCAUGUCAAAAAGAGGCACCCAGGCAUCGGAGGCACUGAGAUCAAGGUCUGCAUGGCACAAAAGUUAAAAGAUCUGAGGAGACGAGCAGAAAGGAUGCCUGCUGCAGGAGACACAAAGGACUGAGACAACACACUUUCACAAACGCACACCACACACACACACAUGCGCGUAUACCUGCGUUUUU